rnacentral:rRNA from 1 species
CCUCUCUUCAUUCACCCAUCCAUUUAAUUCCAAAGCGUGUUGCCGCAAAAUUUACAUCCAAAAGCGCAUUUGUAUUUGCUAUAAAACUACACAAAUCAUCCCAUUUUCGAUAAUAUAUGCGUUCAAAUUGCAAUGGUCAACAUGCUUGGUUCCGCCAGCAAGUUGUGCCUUGACAUCUUUAUUUUUAAAAAAUCCAUGCAUUAGCUUCGUUGGCCAUCCAUGCAUUAGCCGGCACUGCCUUUGGAAACGCCACCUCUUCUAGCUCCACACCUUAGGGAGUCUCAUGUUCGACAACACAUGUAUCUUAGGGCCUGCACACGAAAAAAGAACCAUGAGGAAUUGCCGUGAAUUGUUGAAAGCUCCAUAUGCAAUAUGGUUGUAUCAUGUUCAUAUGAGAUAACACGAUGUUGAAUUUACUUGAAAGACAAUAUUAAUUGUAACUGUAGAUUAAACUAAACUUGAACCAGAACCAUAAAAUAGGUGUGCGUGCCUCAAAAGCCCGAGAAGACAACCAUGUGGUUGCAAUGUGCAAUAUCAACAGUACAUCCAUACUGUAGUUCAGCAAUGAUGUUGCCCAUUACUAAUUCUUUCCAAAUCUAGAUUAGGAAAAAAAUCAAGCUAUCUAAGCGACUGAUAUAUGGGUCCAUAGAUCUAGUCAUUAUUGUCCAUAUGAGCAAAUCAGGCAUUACGACAGAAGCACACUGUAGGAGGCAAAUUAUUUAGUAAACACGGCAUGGGUUUAACAGCAGGAUUAUCAUCCGAGGAAUUAAAGCAAGUUUUCAAUGGGAUAAAAGCAUAUAAACCUUACACAUUAUCAAAAUUUACAUGCAAAGAUUAAAAUUGAUAUGUGAACUGAAAUCUUGGAGAGCACAAAUAUAUCAACAUGAGUAAUGGAAUAAAGGUACUAUUCUGUUGUGCAAAUGGAAACAUUAGAGAAAAUUAAUUGCUCAUGUGCGAUAGAGAGAAGUGUUAAGUACAUAGGAGUUUAGGAAUAUAACAUCAUCAAGGAGAUAGAAGGAGCGUGUUGAAGUAAUGGAAAUUUGUCAUGAAAAAGUUAUCUCUUUAAGGCAAGCACAUUCUGGGGUACUUAUGUCACCAUUUGGAAAGGCGGGGACAUGAGCGUCUCGUUCCAUCCACGCUGGAAGUCCCAUGAGUCCCAGUUGACCUGCACUCACCAAGUAGUAUGCACAUGUCCAGUCUCUCUUGCAGAACUCAACCUUCUCCUGUAACAUGAACAUAACUAUGCUGGAGGUCAUCAACAACAACGACCAGCAGCAUCGGUGCAGCACGAGCUAGGUAAUGACCAUGGACAUGUUGACCCACUGUCCGCACAGUUUCCUGACAGCGCACAUGCCUGCAUGUAAUCUAGCAUGAGGGUGCCAAGCAACGAAUUAAAGCUAUUGUGUCACCAAAGGAGCAACCAGAAACUAUAACUGCUCAUGGCAGAGCAGCAAGCAUAAUAGUGUUUACAAAUUACAAAGAUAUAUAAUAGCAAGAGGAAGCAGGAAUUUUUAGUCUGAUCUCUCUUACAUUUCCUGCUUAAUAAAAAGAAGCAAAUGUAACCCAAUAUGUUUAAUUGGUAACUGAAAGUAGGCAUCAUAGGUUAAUUAUCAACAUAGAUUCAUGCAUAAUCGAAACAUAAUUUGAGCAGAUAAAACAUGAUGUCACACUUUGUGUUGGAAAUAGACUUAAAUCUGUAGCUUGUAAUAUUCAUCAUCAAAACUAUGGGCAUGGCUCUAUGAAGAAUAUGCUCAAAAACGUGUGAUUGUCUUGGCCAAAUUAAACAAACUGCAUGGAUACGUACCAAUGAUUUUUUUAUAAUCAGUACCUGGCUAACUGCACUCUAUGCAAUGGAGAAACAUCGCAGUGCAGUACUACACAUGUAGGGAACUGUGAAAGAAACAGAGCAUGUGAUUCUGAAUCAAACUUGCAUCUCGUUUUCUGCUCCAAAAAUCACCAAAAGCACACCAGAUGAAAUACCUGGCAGCAAUGUUUUGCCGAUUAGACCAUACCAACUCCACGAACAUCCAAUUCAAUUGGGGUUUCAGGGGCUGCAUGGAGUACCCCGGGCCUCCUUGAAGCACAUCCUGAAGGAGAAGUUCGUGGAAGCACGGAUGGUGAUCUAGAAGGUUCAGUUCCGCCAAGUGCUCAAGAAAAAUAAUCUAGAACUGUGAGAACCCCAAGAACUGAAGCAUUGCAAGCCCAGAUUUUGACCCGGAGUUAAUGUCAAAAUCACUUGGUGCUUAUUUUGUUGUCUUAGGUGCACUUGUAAGCUGUAACGGAUGUACACUACAAAACUGAAAUAGAUCAAGCCGGCCUUUGUGUGCCGGCUGGUUCUGUAUCUUACCUUGUCCUAUGACUCAUCAAUGGAGAUCUUAGUUACAAUUCAAAGGCCUAGACAGGAAACAUGCAGAAAUUACGAACCUGAUAUUGAUACACCAUGUAGUAGAUUGGAUACUGCUAUUUGAACCCAAACAUGGUCGAGUACUUCAAUUCACAAAAAUCUCUUGCCAGGCUGAGGGCUUCCAAUCGGGAUGGUGAUAGCAGCAGGUGCGCAAGUAAUGAAACAGAUGACUCAUGUGGGAGGAGAGACCAAUUGCAGACGGCAUAGAGGUCCUAGGGGAGCAGCGCAUACUCGAAGGGGAUGGCCAUAGAGCGCGUCUGCCGGGAGGGAGUAGUAGGUGGCGGCGCUGUCGCCGAGGAUGCGUAGUGUGUAGCAGCGUACGUGGAGGUCGGCGAGGACAGGGGAGGUGGUGGGCGGCGGGACUGCUGCAUCAGAGCCUCGGAUGGGGAAGCAGGAGAGUCCUCGCGGACUCCGGGGACGGACGGCACCGGCGGCGUACUUGCCGACGUCGGUGUCGAAGGAGAAGGGGGAGGGGGAGCAGGAGACGGCGGUGAGAAGGGAGAUGUGCUGGGCGUCGAGUCUGCUGCACCGGAGGAGUAGGCAGGAGAUGCAUUGCAGACUUGGCGGACGGAUGGCGCCGGCGGUGUACUUGACGAUGUCGGCAUCGUAGAAGACGGGGUAAGGGGAGGAAGGAAGGUGGAGGUGGGUGUGGGUGUGGCGGUGUGCGGCGAGGCUGCCGUGGUAGAGAGGAGUCGGGAGCGGAGGGCGCCGGUGGCGUGCAGAGCGGCAGCCGCUGCUGCUGCCACUUCGAUUCCACUUUUUUCCAGAAGAGUCGAUUGCUUCGUUGAGU